rnacentral:rRNA from 1 species
GGCGAAAGCCUGACGCAGCCACGCCGCGUGAGGGAUGAAGGCUCUAGGGUCGUAAACCUCUUUCAGCAGGGAAGAAAAUGACGGUACCUGCAGAAGAAGCUCCGGCCAACUACGUGCCAGCAGCCGCGGUAACACGUAGGGAGCGAGCGUUGUCCGGAUUUAUUGGGCGUAAAGAGCUCGUAGGCUGUUCAGUAAGUCAGGUGUGAAAACUCGAGGCUCAACCUCGAGACGCCACCUGAAACUGCUGUGACUAGAGUCCGGUAGGGGAGUGUGGAAUUCCUGGUGUAGCGGUGAAAUGCGCAGAUAUCAGGAGGAACACCAGCAGCGAAGGCGGCACUCUGGGCCGGUACUGACGCUCAGGAGCGAAAGCAUGGGGAGCGAACAGGAUUAGAUACCCUGGUAGUCCAUGCCGUAAACGUUGGGCACUAGGUGUGGGAUUUAACUAACAAAUUCCGUGCCGUAGCUAACGCAUUAAGUGCCCCGCCUGGGGAGUACGGCCGCAAGGCUAAAACUCAAAGGAAUUGACGGGGACCCGCACAAGCGGUGGAACAUGUGGUUUAAUUCGAUGCAACGCGAAGAACCUUACCUGGGUUUGACAUGUUCACGAAAGCUCUGUGAAAACAGAGCCCUCUGCGAGCUUGCUCAAAGACGUGAUCACAGGUGAUGCAUGGCUGUCGUCAGCUCGUGUCGUGAGAUGUUGGGUUAAGUCCCGCAACGAGCGCAACCCCUAUCCUUAGUUGCCAGCACAUUAUGGUGGGGACUCUAAGGAGACUGCCUGGGAUAACCAGGAGGAAGGUGGGGAUGAUGUCAAGUCAGUAUGUCCCUUAUGUCCAGGGCUACACACGUGUUACAAUGGUUGGUACAAUGGGUCGCUAAACCGCGAGGUGGAGCCAAUCCCCAAAAACCAACCCCAGUUCGGAUUGGAGUCUGCAACUCGACUCCAUGAAGCAGGAAUCGCUAGUAAUCGUGGAUCAGAACGCCACGGUGAAUACGUUCCCGGGUCUUGUACACACCGCCCGUCACGCCAUGGAAGUCAGUAGUACCCGAAUCGGGUGGCCUAACCUUAGGGAGGGAGCUGUCGAAGGUGGGAUUCGCGAUUGGGGUGAAGUCGUAACAAGGUAGCCGUACCGGAAGGUGCGGCUG